AACCUCUGUGCGUGAAGAGCCUGGUCCCAUGAUGACUUCAUACAAAAGCACUAGGGGGCGACAUCUCACGCUCCUGUCCGUCCGCCCUGCCAAAAGGGCGGAUCCCCAAAAUCUCCAAACCUUGGUUUAGAAAUCCGUAGUGGGCAGUCCGGUGAGCUGUUUCCUCCUUGCAGUCUGAGCCCUGAGGCGGCUAUUUCUCCUGAAAGCAGUUCCUUCACCUGCUGCGUGAGGCUUCUUUCUCUACGGCAGGAUUUUUCCAAACGCGAGCUGUUCCUUGAGGGUAAAAGCCUUCUGAGAGAAUAGCACCAAGCUGAGAGAUAGAUGCCCCCCCAGGAGCUGCUUAUCGAACUCCGCUGGUCUGAUGAAUGCAUUUUCUCUCCUGCCUCGCCCAGUGAAAACUGAUAGCCGUGUGAUGUAACUGCCUUCUUGUGGAACUGCUCCACUGUUUUCUCUCCGCAGGGUAAGUGUCCGGUAGGAGAAAAUGUGCAUUCUGGAAGUAAUAUAAUGGGGGAUAAUUCCCA
rnacentral:lncRNA from 1 species